rnacentral:rRNA from 1 species
UACAGGGGGUGCAAACGUUGCUCGGAAUCAUUGGGCGUAAAGCGCACGUAGGCGGUUCGUUAUGUCGGAUGUGAAAGCCCUUGGCUUAACCGAGGAAGUGCAUCCGAAACUGGCGAGCUAGAGUACGAAAAGAGGAUCGCGGAAUUCCUGGUGUAGCGGUGAAAAUGCGCAGAUAUCAGGAGGAACACCGGUGGCGAAGGC